UGGAAGCAGACGGUGUUCUACAUGGAGGA
rnacentral:piRNA from 1 species